GGACAAGAUAUGACGGCAGCGGUAACAGAAGUGGACGAUAUUAUUCAGAGAUUUCAGCAGUGCACAAAGGCCAAGAACAAGGUAGUGGAGAAUCUGGAAAGCAUCGAAGGCCUCUUGGAAAUCAAUGGUGAACCAGUUAACAUCAAGGAGAACCUGGUGAAGUGCCCUCCUGCUUACGCCAUGUACAAAUCGUCUGUAGUGGUCGCCUGCAAUGGCAUUGUCUACCCUUUU
rnacentral:lncRNA from 1 species